rnacentral:misc_RNA from 1 species
CAUAACAUUAUAGGUGAUCACUCACUUGCUAAUAAUAAGAAUGCCUAAAAUUUUCAACCCUAACAUAUCAUAACAGGCAACAUCUAUCAUUGAUCACUGAUUUCUUAAUUUAGUUUAGAAAAGGUUGCUCACUGCUGCAGUAUUUGUAUUGCAGGGUUCUCAACAUAGAUUACUCAUGGAGAAUUCAACAUCUUGAAUGUGAAAGAAUUGUAAGAUCACUCAACAGCAAUCUAUUCCAUUAAAAGUUAUGAUUUCCAAUCUAA